UCUUCCCCCUCUCAGCUCACUAAACCCUAAACCCCUUUCUUUUUCUCCCUUUCAUCUCACCAAGACCCCUUCUUCUUCUGUGCCGCCACCUCCGACUUCCGCUGCCGACUCCAUCCUCCGCCUUCGCCGACCCCCUCGCUCCCCAGAACGAGGGAUCCACCCUCCGACAUCGCUCCUUCCCCUUCUUCUUCUAUUCUGUCCCUCUUUUUUUUCCCCCACGGCGUCUCCCUCGGGUUUACUCCCACAGACACAGAGGGAUCCGAAGCCAUCCAGAAGCUUCGGAUCCACGGUGUUCUUUUAAUUUCGGGCGAGCGGGCCGACCCCAGCCUUCGGCCCAUUACAGGAGAAUUCUGUAGCCCAUUAUCUUGUGGGCCUGAUUUUUCCAGCCUCUACAAUUGGAUCCAGACCCUGCCACGUGUUGGACUUCCACAACGAUACCCGCAGUUGGCCGUCUUCCAGCAGCAUCUUCUACAAAUCAUCGGGCUCCGGUUCUGCACUCUGACAUCCAAAUUCAUCCACUGAUUCAGAUCUGUAAGAAGAGGUCGUAUCUUCCCUUUACAUAAUUAUUUUUCAGCCUUUCCCUAUAAACUAGUUUAUCUUUAGAUUAUUAUUGUUUUCACUUCAUGUUGUCGGUUUGAGAUAGGACCUCAAUUUUAUAAAAGCCUAUGCCCCUUGAAAACACAUAUUGAGCCUUAUAAAUUAUUUUCAAAUCCUCGAAAGGCAACUAGGAAAUUUUACUGGAAUCUGGUGAAAUCCAAAUCAAUUUGAAGGACCCCACUUUCAUUAGAUUAACCUGUAAAGAUUUUGCAUGAUCCAGGCCAAGGUUAGCAGUACCUAAGGUCCUGAUAUUUAGUUAUCACCUGUGCUAAUUCGAAAGUAACCAAGACUACGUCAAAAGUCGUCUUUUAUUCAACAUUGUUGAUUUUAUUUUGAAUGUUAAUUAUAUAUCUAGGAUUUUUGAAUUCUAGAGUAUGACAACUCGCAGCGGUACAUCUUACUCACAUGAGAUGACGACCAACCCAAGCCAACAGGUGUUAGAUGCCAUAGCAGCAUUAGAAACCAGAUUAGGAGCAAGGAUCACUGACCUUGAAACUAGACUGAACACUCGUUUGACUAUGGCUGAAAAUUCAAUCACCAACCUCCAAGUUACUCACAACGAUGGAGAGUCUGAACUUGGUGAGUUUGAACCGCUCCGUGCCAGAGGCCUUGGGCAACAACACCAAAGGGACUAUCUAAGAUCGCGUGAGACACCAGAUGAGCACGUAAUGCGCAGUAUUAAGAUCGAUGCACCAAGUUAUGAUGGUCGUCUCGACCCAAAAGUCUUCAUUGACUGGCUCGCUGAUAUGGACCAUUACUUUGAAUGGUAUAAUCUAUCAGAAGAUCGCAGAGUUCGCUUUGCAAAAAUGAAGCUCACUGGUCCCGCAAAGUUGCAUUGGAACACAAUAGAAAAUAUGCUUGCUAGAGCUAGGCAACCCCCUGUGGUACAAUUACAAAUUAUUUUUUCAAAUCCUCAAAAGGCAACUAGGAAAUUUUACAUAAAUCUGGUGAAACCCUAAUCAAUUUGAAGGACCCCACUUUCAUUAGAUUAACCUGCGAAGAUUUUGCAUGACCCAGGUCAAGGUUGGCAACACCUAAAGUCCUGAUAUUUAGUUAUCACCUGUGCUAAUUAGAAAGUAACCGAGACUCUGUCAUAAGUCUUUUAUUCAAGAUUGUUGAUUUUAUUCUGAAUGUUAUUUUUAUCUAAGAUUUUCGUAUUCUAGAGCAUGACAACUCGCGGUGGUACAUCCUGCUCAUAUUAGAUGUCUACCAACCCAAACCAACAGGUGUUAGAUGCCAUUGCGGCAUUAGAAACCAGAUUAGGGGCAAGAAUCACUGACCUUGAAACUAGGCUGAACACUCGCUUGACUAUGGCUGAAAAUUCAAUCACCAACCUCCAAGUUACUCACAACGAUGGAGAGUCUGAACUUGGUGAGUUUGAACCGCCCCGCCCCAGAGGCCUUGGGCCACAACACCAAAGGGACUAUCUAAGAGCGCNNNNNNNNNNNNNNNNNNNNNUUGAAAGAAAAAUAUCUCCCAACAUCCUAUAAGAGUCGUCUGUUAGAUCAGUGGCAACGAUUGAUUCAAGGAAACAAACCUGUAUCCGAGUACAUCGCUCGUUUUGAUGAGUUCUUCAUGCGAUGUGAUGCACGCGAGAGUGUGGAGUUGACCCUUUCUAGGUUUAGGUCCGGAUUGCGAGAUGAUCUACAAAAAGAGCUUAUUUUACGCGAGGUCAAUUCAUUAGAACAUGCCUAUCAACUUGUCCAAGACAUUGAGCGUUAUACUAAUAAGACAACCUUUAGGCGAUUCGAUCUUAAGGAGACCAAUUAUAAGUUCACCCACGGUAGUCAAACUAAUACUGGGAGUAAGCCUACUAUCAGAAAUCAAGCGACCGAGUCCCCAAAAAUUAAUGAUCAAAAGAAUAAGGG
rnacentral:lncRNA from 1 species